GUGAAGCAUAAUCCAGACGGCAGUAUUGAAUGUUACAAGGCCAGGCUUGUGGCUAAAGGUUAUACCCAAAUCCCUGGGUUGGACUACAUUGGGACUUUCAGCCCAGUAGCUAAGAUGACAACUAUAAGAACUCUUCUCGCCGUGGCUGCUGUCAAAGGUUGGUUCCUACACCAGUUGGAUAUCAUCACGAACACC